CCUACGGGGUGCAGCAGUGGGGGAUAUUGCACAAUGGGGGAAACCCUGAUGCAGCGACGCCGCGGGAGUGAAGAAGAAGUUCGGGAUGUAAAGCUCUAUCAGCAGGGAAGAAAAUGACAGUACCUGAACAAGAAGCCCCGGCUAACUACGUGCCAGCAGCCGCGGUAAUACGUAGGGGGCAAGCGUUAUCCGGAUUUACUGGGUGUAAAGGGAGCGUAGACGGUUAUGGAAGUCUGGAGUGAAAGCCCGGGGCCGAACCCCGGGACUGCUUUGGAAACUGUGUAACUGUAGUACAGGAGGGGCAGGCGGACUUCCUGGUGUAGCGGUGAAAUGCGUAGAUAUCAGGCGGAACACCGGCGGC
rnacentral:rRNA from 1 species